rnacentral:rRNA from 1 species
ACCGAAAACGCUGUAGUAUUAAUAAGAGUUUAUGACUGAAAGGUCAGAAAAUAAGGUUAAGUUAAUAAGGGCGCACGGUGGAUGCCUUGGCACUAGGAGCCGAAGAAGG